rnacentral:rRNA from 1 species
GGUGUGGAGCACCUAUGUCUCCCGAGCAGGUACCAACCCCUAGCGGUGCGCCGCACGUAGGUCGGGGGAGCCGGAGGAUGAACUGAGGGGACCUACGGGACGCUUGGGAUCGGAGAGGUGAAGAAGGGGGAGCGCGGCGAAAGAAGGUGCGCGUCGGCGGGCGGCAACAGUGACGGUACUUGCAGCAGCAGGUACACCAGAGGCCGGUGGGACGUGGCGCUCCGAUACGGGUCCUCCGCGCGACGGGAGCUGAUACAGGAGAUGCGGUUCGGUAGCCUCAGCCCCUGGUGGUGGUGCGGCAUGGGCUGGCAGAAGAAGGAGCUACCGGCGGCCGCUAGGGGCUGCUAAGACCACGGAGACGACGAGGAUUCGGGUGUGGCCCGGAGGAACACGGAAGGGCUGCCACCUCGGGUCCUCGGUCUACGGUGGCAGCUCCUGCUGAUGAUGAUGAGCCCUCCACGGAUGAUGAUGCACGUCGGGCGACUACUGCUGGUCCUCAUCAAAUCCUCCUAGGGUCCGUCCUCCGGGCGCGGAGAAAGUUAGACAUAGGGUCAAACACGAUCGGAAGAAUUCCGUUUGGACAAAUUGAAUACAGAUAUGAGUCUAUAGCAACGAAGGCGACUGAGCACAUACUAGCUCAAGAACAUAAGCUCGGGAGCUCCGGGGACCGAACAUUAUACUACG